rnacentral:rRNA from 1 species
AUGCCCAUGGAGACUGCCAUCCGAAGACCAUGCAACAGAGCCUCAUAUUCGGCUGCAUUGUUGGAGUCUGUGUAUAAUAUUUGGAGUACGUAUUGGACUGUAUCUCCGGUGGGAUGUCAGGACAACGCCUGCCCCCAGACUAGCCAGCAUCUUAGAGCCAUCAAAGUGCAUGAUCCAAUUGGAGUACACGUCGUACUCUUUAGGGAGUUCGGCUUCUGUCCAUUCGGUGACGAAGUCGGCCAGUACUUGCGAUUUAAUGGCUCAUCGUGGUUUGUAUAUUAUGUCGAACGGGAGGAGCUCGAUAGCCCAUUUAGCAAUCCAGCCCGUGGCAUCACGGUUAUUUAUUAUAUCGUUGAGUGGUACUUCAGAGGCCACCGUGAUUGA